GACGUAGGGGGCCAGCGUUGUUCGGAAUUACUGGGUGUAAAGGGUUCGUAGGCGGUGUGGCAAGUCGGGAGUGAAAUCUCUGGGCUCAACUCAGAGACUGCUUCCGAAACUGCUGUGCUGGAGUGUGGGAGAGGCGCGUGGAAUUGCAGGUGUAGCGGUGAAAUGCGCAGAUAUCGGGAGGAACACCAAUGGCGAAGGCAGCUCGCUGGGACGGUACUGACGCUGAGGCGCGAAAGCGUGGGGAGCAAACAGGG
rnacentral:rRNA from 1 species